rnacentral:rRNA from 1 species
GACGAACGCUGGCGGCGUGCCUAAUACAUGCAAGUCGAACGGAGGGGGAACGGGGGAGUAACACGUGGGUAACCUCCAAUCAGAGGGGAUAACCCUUGGAAACAGGCGCAUAAGCGAUACUGAAGGAUCGAGCCGUGGGGCAUUAGCUAGUCGGUGGGGGAACGGCUCACCAAGGCAACGAUGCCUAGCCGACCUGAGAGGGUGAUCGGCCACACUGGGACUGAGACACGGCCCAGACUCCUACGGGAGGCAGCAGUAGGGAAUCUUCGGCAAUGGGCGAAAGUCUGACCGAGCCACGCCGCGUGAGUGAAGAAGGUUUUCGGAUCGUAAAGCUCUGUUGUUGGAGAAGCGGUAUCUAACCAGAAAGCCACGGCUAACUACGUGCCAGCCGCCGCGGUAAUUC